CGUAGGGUCCGAGCGUUAAUCGGAAUUACUGGGCGUAAAGCGUGCGCAGGCGGUUUUGUAAGCCAGAUGUGAAAGCCCCGGGCUCAACCUGGGAAUGGCAUUUGGGACUGCAAGGCUGGAGUACGGCAGAGGGAGGUGGAAUUCCACGUGUAGCAGUGAAAUGCGUAGAGAUGUGGAGGAACACCGAUGGCGAAGGCAGCCUCCUGGGCUAGUACUGACGCUCAUGCACGAAAGCGUGGGGAGCAAACAGGAUUAGAUACCCUGGUAGUCCACGCCCUAAACGAUGACGACUAGUUGUUGGGGGAUUACAUCCCUUAGUAACGCAGCUAACGCGUGAAGUCGUCCGCCUGGGGAGUACGGUCGCAAGAUUA
rnacentral:rRNA from 1 species